UACCCUUGACAUGUACGGAAGUCCGCCGAGAGGUGGAUGUGCUCGAAAGAGAACCGUAACACAGGUGCUGCAUGGCUGUCGUCAGCUCGUGUCGUGAGAUGUUGGGUUAAGUCCCGCAACGAGCGCAACCCUUGUCCCUAGUUGCUACGCAAGAGCACUCUAGGGAGACUGCCGGUGACAAACCGGAGGAAGGUGGGGAUGACGUCAAGUCCUCAUGGCCCUUAUGGGUAGGGCUUCACACGU
rnacentral:rRNA from 1 species